GUGCCAGCCGCCGCGGUAAGACGAACCGUGCGAACGUUGUUCGGAAUCACUGGGCUUAAAGGGCGCGUAGGCGGGCAUCAUAGUCAGGGGUGAAAUCCUCCAGCUCAACUGGAGAAGUGCCUCUGAUACUGGGUGCCUCGAGGGGUGCAGGGGCGUGCGGAACUUCCGGUGGAGCGGUGAAAUGCGUAGAUAUCGGAAGGAACACCGGUGGCGAAGGCGGCACGCUGGACACCUUCUGACGCUGAGGCGCGAAAGCCAGGGGAGCAAACGGGAUUAGAAACCCGCGUAGUCC
rnacentral:rRNA from 1 species